GCUUCCAAAAUCCCUAACCUGUGCAUUCCUCCUUUUUUUUUCCCAUUUCCAAAAUUAAGUUGUUUUCUGGUCCUCCGCCGAAUCACCGAUCCACCUCCACUGUCAAGACCUCCACCGAUCUACCUCUGGUCCUCCACCCAAUUCCAGAAUCAAGCAUUUAGGGGUUUGUUUAUUCCCGAAUCGCCAACAAAUUCGUUUUUAAGUUGUGUAGUGGAAAAGCUACCUUAAAUUUUGGAGCGUCUGUCAAAAGAACAAAUAAGCUAUCAGAAACAAUCGACAUUGAAAUCGAUUUGACUUACCUUAGCUUCCUUUCCUAUUAGCAGAUUUUCCCGUAAGCUAAACUUGCUUAUCUACUAGUACGAAAAUAAUGGGAUUGAGAAAUAGAGAUGCUUCUAUUUAAGAUUUUGGAUUGGAUUUAUGCAGUUUGAAUUUCAUUAAUUUAUUUUUUGGUACAUAUGUAAUUUAGCUUAUAGAAUAAAUAUGACUAUCUCAAUUGUUUA